rnacentral:rRNA from 1 species
AGGGUUUGAUCCUGGCUCAGAACGAACGCUGGCGGCGUGGAUUAGGCAUGCAAGUCGCACGGUCAAAAUGAGGCUUCGGCCGAAAGACGAGUGGCGAAAGGGUGAGUAAUGCAUGGGCAACCUGCCCUCAGGACGGGGAUAGCAGCGUCCGCUUCGGCGGACUUUAGCGAAAGUGCUGGUAAUACCCGAUGAUGUCGCGAGAUCGCAUGAUUUUGCGACCAAACGGUGGGACCUUCGGGUUUCCGCCUGAGGAGGGGCCCAUGUCCUAUUAGCUAGUUGGUGAGGUAACGGCCCACCAAGGCAUCGAUGGGUAGCCGGUCUGAGAGGAUGAUCGGCCACACUGGGACUGAGACGCUGCCCAGACUCCUACGGGAGGCUGCAGUCGAGAAUCUUCCGCAAUGCGCGAAAGCGUGACGGAGCGACGCCGCGUGGAGGACGAAGGCCUUCGGGUUGUAAACUCCUUACAGGGGGUAUGAAGGUGCCUGUUGACCCACUUCGGGUACUUGACGUCAACCCCAAAUGAAGCUCCGGCCAACUACGUGCCAGCAGCCGCGGUAAUACGUAGGGAGCAAGCGUUGUUCGGAAUCACUGGGCAUAAAGGGUGCGUAGGCGGUCUGAUGUGUCCGUUGUGAAAUCCCCCGGCUUACCCGGGGAACUGCGACGGAAACUGUCAGGCUUGAGGACAGAAGGGGAGAGUGGAACUCUAGGUGGAGCGGUGAAAUGCGUUGAUAUCUAGGGGAACGCCGGUGGCGAAAGCGGCUCUCUGGUCUGUCUCUGACGCUGAGGCACGAAAGCUAGGGUAGCGAACGGGAUUAGAUACCCCGGUAGUCCUAGCCGUAAACGAUGGGCACUAGGUGGAGGAGGAUUCAACGCCUUCUCUGUCGAAGCUAAUGUGUUAAGUGCCCCGCCUGGGGAGUAUGGUCGCAAGGCUAAAACUCAAAGGAAUUGACGGGGGCUCGCACAAGCGGUGGAGCAUGUUGCUUAAUUCGAAGCAACGCGAAGAACCUUACCAGGGCUUGACAGCGAGAAGUAGGAUCCCGAAAGGGUAACGACCGGUACCCAAUCCGGAACUCGAACAGGUGUUGCAUGGCUGUCGUCAGCUCGUGUCGUGAGAUGUUGGGUUAAGUCCCGUAACGAGCGAAACCCUUGUCCUUAGUUGCUAGCGGUUCUGCCGCGCACUCUAGGGAGACUGCCGCGUCUAAGCUGGAGGAAGGUGGGGACGACGUCAAGUCAUCAUGGCCCUUACGCCCUGGGCUGCAAACGUGCUACAAUGGCCGGUACAAAGAGAAGCGAGACCGCAAGGUGGAGCAAAUCUCAGAAAGCCGGUCCCAGUUCGGAUCGGGGGCUGCAAUUCGCCCCCGUGAAGUUGGAAUCGCUAGUAACCGCGGAUCAGCUAUGCCGCGGUGAAUAUGUUCCCGAGCCUUGUACACACCGCCCGUCAAGCCACCCGAGCAGGGCGCACCCGAAAUCCGUGGCCCAACCCGUUUCGGCGGGAGGGAGCGGCUGAAGGUGAGCUUUGUAAGGGGGACUAAGUCGGAACAAGGUA